rnacentral:rRNA from 1 species
AUUGAACGCUGGCGGCAUGCCUUACACAUGCAAGUCGAACGGCAGCACGGGUGCUUGCACCUGGUGGCGAGUGGCGAACGGGUGAGUAAUACAUCGGAACAUGUCCUGUAGUGGGGGAUAGCCCGGCGAAAGCCGGAUUAAUACCGCAUACGAUCUACGGAUGAAAGCGGGGGACCUUCGGGCCUCGCGCUAUAGGGUUGGCCGAUGGCUGAUUAGCUAGUUGGUGGGGUAAAGGCCUACCAAGGCGACGAUCAGUAGCUGGUCUGAGAGGACGACCAGCCACACUGGGACUGAGACACGGCCCAGACUCCUACGGGAGGCAGCAGUGGGGAAUUUUGGACAAUGGGCGAAAGCCUGAUCCAGCAAUGCCGCGUGUGUGAAGAAGGCCUUCGGGUUGUAAAGCACUUUUGUCCGGAAAGAAAUCCUUGGCCCUAAUACGGUCGGGGGAUGACGGUACCGGAAGAAUAAGCACCGGCUAACUGCGUG